rnacentral:rRNA from 1 species
UUGCCGGCGACCGGCGGAUGGGUGCGUAACGCGUAUGCAACCUACCUUAUACAGGGGAAUAACCUUUCGAAAGGGAGACUAACACCCCAUGGUAUUGAUUUAAGGCAUCUUAGAUUAAUUAAAUAUUUAUAGGUAUAAGAUGGGCAUGCGUAUGAUUAGCUAGUUGGUAAGGUAACGGCUUACCAAGGCGACGAUCAUUAGGGGUUCUGAGAGGAAGGUCCCCACACUGGUACUGAGACACGGACCAGACUCCUACGGGAGGCAGCAGUGAGGAAUAUUGGUCAAUGGGCGCAAGCCUGAACCAGCCAUGCCGCGUGCAGGAAGACGGCCUUAUGGGUUGUAAACUGUCUUUUACAUAAGACUAACCGUAUAUUUGCGAAUAUACCUGAAUGUAUUAUGAGAAUAAGGAUCGGCUAACUCCGUGCCAGCCGCUGC